rnacentral:RNase_P_RNA from 1 species
GAAGCAGGACAAAUGAUCGCCGCCCUGCAAAAGGCAGGGGGGAGGAAAGUCCGGGCUCCUGAGGACAGGAUGCUGGGUAACGCCCAGUCCCGGUGACGGGAAGGAAAGUGCAACAGAAAGGAAACCGCCUUCAUGUGGCUGUUUGGCUGCAUGGAGGUAAGGGUGAAAGGGUGAGGUAAGAGCUCACCGGUUCGGCGGCGACGUCGGAGGCUAUGCAAACCCCAUCCGGAGCAAGACCAAAUAGGGGAACAAUGGAGGGUGGUCCGCCCGAGUUCCCGGGUAGGUCGCUUGACCUCGCGGGUAACUGCGAGACUAGAUGAAUGAUCAUUGUCCCGAUGGCGAGUGAUCGCUUCGGGAAACAGAACCCGGCUUAUGGCCUGCUUCGACA